GACGGAAGGUGCAAGCGUUGCUCGGAAUCACUGGGCGUAAAGGGUGCGUAGGCGGCUUGGUAGGUCUGGUGUGAAAGCCCCGGGCUCAGCCCGGGAAGGGCACUAGAAACUGCCAAGCUAGAGUGCCGGAGGGGAGAGUGGAAUUCCUGGUGUAGCGGUGAAAUGCGCAGAUAUCAGGAGGAACACCAAUGGCGAAGGCAGCUCGCUGGGACGUGACUGACGCUGAGACGCGAAAGCGUGGGGAGCAAACAGG
rnacentral:rRNA from 1 species